rnacentral:rRNA from 1 species
GGGUAAUGUCUGGGAAACUGCCCGAUGGAGGGGGAUAACUACUGGAAACGGUAGCUAAUACCGCAUAACGUCGCAAGACCAAAGAGGGGGACCUUCGGGCCUCUUGCCAUCGGAUGUGCCCAGAUGGGAUUAGCUAGUAGGUGGGGUAACGGCUCACCUAGGCGACGAUCCCUAGCUGGUCUGAGAGGAUGACCAGCCACACUGGAACUGAGACACGGUCCAG